rnacentral:rRNA from 1 species
UACGGGGGGGGCAAGGCGUUGUUCGGAAUUACUGGGCGUAAAGGGCUCGUAGGUGGCCAACUAAGUCGGACGUGAAAUCCCUCGGCUUAACCGGGGAACUGCGUCCGAUACUGGUUGGCUUGAGUUUGGGAGAGGGAUGCGGAAUUCCAGGUGUAGCGGUGAAAUGCGGCAGAUAUCAGGAAGAACACCCGUGGCUAAGGCGGCUCUCUAGUACGGUACUG